UGCCAGCAGCCGCGGUAAUACGGAGGGUCCAAGCGUUAUCCGGAUUUAUUGGGUUUAAAGGGUGCGCAGGCGGACCUAUCAGUCAGUGGUGAAAUCCCGGGGCUCAACUCCGGAACUGCCAUUGAUACUGUAGGUCUUGAGUUUGGUUGAAGUGGGCGGAAUUUAUGAUGUAGCGGUGAAAUGCAUAGAUAUCAUAAAGAACACCGAUAGCGAAGGCAGCUUACUAGACUGUAACUGACGCUGAGGCACGAAAGCGUGGGGAGCGAACAGGAUUAGAUA
rnacentral:rRNA from 1 species